AUAUGUAAGAACCAACCUUUAGGCGGGGGAAUACCUCAUAAGCUGUGGAGUAAAAGAACUUUUUCACUCUAAAGACGGGCUUACACCUGAUUAGCUUGAUGGUGAGGUAAUAGCUUACCAUGGCUACAAUCAGUAACUGGUCUGAGAGGAUGUACGGUCACAUUGGGACUGAGAUACGGCCCAGACGACUACGUGUUGGCAGCAGUAAUGAAUCUUCCGCAAUGGGGGAAACCCUGACGGAGCGAGUCGUCGUGAAGGAUGAAGGUUUACGGAUUGUAAACUUCUUUUGCUACAUUUAAAUUUUUAAUUUAUUAGCCACUGGCGUGUAGAGAAUAAGCAUCAGCAAAUUUCGUGCCAGCAGCCGCGGUUAUACGGGAGAUGCAAAGAUUAUCUGGAAUUAUUGGGUGUAAAGAGUCUUAAGAUGGUGGAGUAUGUCUAUGGUGAAAUGUCAAAGCUUAACUUUGAAACAGCUGUAGAAACUACUCAACUUGAGUUCGAUAGAGGUAAAGGGAAUUCUCGGUGGAGCGGUGAAAUGCAUAGAUAUCGAGAGGAACACCGAAGGCGUAGGCACUUUACUGGGUCGAAACUGACAUUGUAAGACGAAAGCUAAGGGAGCAAAAGGGAUUAGAGACCCCUGUAGUCUUAGCCGUAAAUGAUGGGUACUGUGUAUUGGUUAGAAAAUCAAGUACGUAAGCUAACGCUAAGUACCCCACCUGGGGAUUACGUCCGCAAGGAUAAAACUUAAAGAAAUAGGC
rnacentral:rRNA from 1 species